GACGAACGCUGGCGGCGCGCCUAACACAUGCAAGUCGAGCGACGAAAGGGCCUUCGGGCCCCUGAAAGCGGCGAACGGGUGAGUAACACGUGGGUAACCUACCCUCGGUUCCGGGAUAGCUCGGGGAAACCCGGAUUAAUACCGGAUGGCCUCUGGAGCCUUCGGGCUCUCGAGAAAAGGUAGCUUCGGCCUCCGACCGAGGAUGGGCCCGCGGCCGAUUAGCUUGUUGGCGGGGUAAUGGCCCACCAAGGCAACGAUCGGUAGCUGGUCUGAGAGGACGAUCAGCCACACUGGGACGGAGACACGGCCCAGACUCCUACGGGAGGCGGCAGUGGGGAAUCUUGCGCAAUGGGCGGAAGCCUGACGCAGCGACGCCGCGUGCGGGAGGAAGGCCUUCGGGUUGUAAACCGCUUUCAGGAGGGACGAAGCCACUCGGGUGAAUAGCCCAGAGGGUGACGGUACCUCCAGAAGAAGCCCCGGCUAACUACGUGCCAGCCGCCGCCGUAAAAC
rnacentral:rRNA from 1 species